GAGUUUUAUUGGGUCAUUAGCCUAUGUUAUUCUUUCAAUAGCCCUGUGAGAUCGGUGAAUUACUACACUCACUUUCAGAUGUGGGAUCUAAGGUUCAGAGAGGUUUCUCAACCUUCCUGAUGUCUUCAUAGCUUCCCAACUGGGUCUCUCCCUUCUGUACCCACAUUUUGAAGCUUGGCUCCCCAAUCCUCCACCAAGGAAAGGGGUACGUUCCCAUCUCUGACUGGAUUUGAUCAGGGAUGUGAAGGAGUAAAGUAACCACGGCAGAUAAGAGGCUGUUUAUUGAAUCGAUCUCCUUUUGAAGACAUCUGACCAGGCCCUUGUCAUCACCCAAUUUUUCCAACUCUUGACUGUUUUCAGGUGAAUGAGGAUCCCAGACGAGGGUGGAACUUUAUGACGUCAACAUCCGCUUCCGAGGGCUGAAGAUCUGCCUUCCCGACCAAUGCGCAUUACCUUUAAGCAGGACUCAAGGUUCUGCCCUGUUAAAUAGGAGAAUGGUCCAAGAUGAGCGACAGCAAAUAGACUUCAACUCAAGUUCUCCGCGGAUGGCCACCUGGAGCUCUAUGUUGAGAAGAAUUCUGAGGCUGAACACCAUGAUCAAUUAAUGAUGUCUGUCAUGGCUUCAGGAUGGAGAGAAGCUAUGCAGGUGCCACGUAUUUUCCAUUCUUUCUAUAUGAUCUUCAAGCUGCUCUUCCAGCAUGUAAAAAUUUAUGGUUCUAGUCUUACAAAA